AAAAAACAGACUGCGUCACAGGUCAAGAGGGCCCUGUUCCUGGAAUCUGUAGCUGAACAGCCCCUGGAAACCGUGCAGAAUCUGCCUCCUCCUUCUGAAGAGCUUGGUCUGCCUGUGCUUGAUAAACCAGAUUCUCCGCCUGCUCAAUCCGCUACUUCUUCCACCGACAAAACAACAAUCAAACGUAAGCAGCCACGAGGUCCAGCGGAUGGACUAGGCAAGAAGAAGAAGGC